rnacentral:rRNA from 1 species
AUCGCACCACGAGGCACCUGUCUACGUAGGGUUGUUUGGGAAUGCAGCCCCAAUCGGGGUGGUAAAUUCUGUCCAAGGCUAAAUGUGAAGAGAGACGGAUAGAGAACAAUUACCGAGGUAAAGAUGGAAAGGACUUUGAAAAGAGAGUCAAAGAGUGCUUGAAAUUGUCGGGAGGGAAGCGGAUGGGGCGGCCGAUUCAUCCCGGUCGGAUCGCGGAACGGACCAAUCGGUCGCCAAUCGGUCGGGCCAUGGACGAUGCAGAUUAAGGUGGUGACCUAAGCACGGGCUUUUUGUUUCGCCAGCGGAGCGUCGCUGCCUUAAUUGUGGUCUGCAGCACGCCUCAUGGUGUGCCUCGGCAUCUUCAUGCUCAAAGCGUCAACCUGUGGGCUCCCAUUAGACCCAUCUUGAAACACGGACAAGGAGUCUGACAUGUGCGCGAGUCAACGGGUGAGUAAACCCGUAAAGGCGCAAGGAAGCUGAUUGGCUGGAUCCCUCGCGGGUGCACAGCCAACCGACCUUGAUCUUCCGAGAAGGGUUGAGUGUGAGCAUGCCGUCGGGACGAAAGAUGGUGAACUAUGCCUGGCGGAAACCAGAGGAAACUCUGGUGGAGGCCCUAAGCGAUCUUGGCGUGCAAAUCGUUCAUCGACUUGGGUAUAGGGAUGAAAGACUAAUCGAACCAUCUAGUAGCUGGUUCCCUCCAGAAGUUUCCCUCAGGGGAUAAAUUUGGAGCUCAAAUGAGUUCAUCGGGUAAAGCCAAUGAUUAGAGGCAUCGGGGCCGCAAUGUCUCGACUAUUCUCAAACUUUAAAUUGGCGGGGACGGGUGGCUGCUUUGUUUGAGCCAUCCCACGGAAUCGAGAGCUCCAAGUGGGCCAUUUUGGUAAGCAGAACUGGAGAUGUGGGAUGAACUGGAAGCGGGUUACGGUGCCCAACUGCACGCUAACCUAGAUACGACAAAGGGUGUUGGUCGAUUAAGACAGCAGGACGAUGGACAUGGAAGUUGAAAUCCGCUAAGGAGUGUGUAACAACUCACCUGCCGAAUCAACUAGCCCCGAAAAUGGAUGGCGCUGGAAGAAGCCGACCUAUCUUCCGCCAUCCGGGCAAAACCGUGCCUCGAUGAGUAGGAGGGUGCGGCGGUGGCCGCUGCAAAACCUAGGGCGGAGCCCGGUGGCGGCCGUCGGUGCAGAUCUUGGUGGUAGUAGCAAAUAUUCAAAUGAUAACUUUGAAGGCGAAGAAGGGAAAGGGUUCCAUUUGAACGGCGGCACUUGCACAUGGGUUAGUCGAUCCUAAGAGUCGGAGGAAACCCGUCUGAUAAGCUUUAUGCACGAACGAAAGGGGAUCGGUUAAAAUUCUGGAACCGGGGCGUGGCGGUUGACAUUUCGUUAGGAAGUCCGGGACGCGUCGGCGGGAUUCAGGAAAGACUUAUCUUUCCUGUUUAACAGCCUGCCCACCAUAGAAAGCGGCUCAGAGGAGGUAGGGUCCAGCGGCUGGAAAAGUGAUAUACCUUGGAUUUGACCCGUUUUCAUCCAUGGUAUAUGGGUUUUUAUAUAUAUAUAUAUAUCUAUGUUUCACUCUUCUAGGUAUGUUUUCAGGUUCAGGUGCAUUUCAGAGUAAAGCUAUGACUUUGGAGCAUUUUGGAGCUUAAAAGACAUUUCAUCCGAAGCUGACCAUGUAGAGGUCGGCGAGAGGAAGAACAAUCGAUUGAUGCACAUCCAGUGCUGUCGAUCGACACCAUGAGAUGCCUCGACAAAUGAAGAUUAAUAUAGAUCGAUGUACACAAGUACCAUCGAUCGAUGUCGGUGAAAUUGAACAUGCGACAUUUUGGAUCCAGCGGACUUGAAGCCCAAGUCCAAGCCCCGACGAAGUUUUAACCUAGUAGAUAUAUACUGCCUAAGUGUUUGUGGAGAGAUUUUUUUUGUUGGUUUUAGAGAGAGAGUUUUGGAGAAGAUCACUUGGAUUGGAACUCCUUGUUUUCAUUUCUUUUUUCUUAUACUAUGAAUUUCCAUUUCUUCAUUGUCAUGAAUUGCUUUGCUAUGUCCGAGUAGUUCAUUUAUUAGAUCCAGGGGUUCAGAUAGGUUUGUGGGAUUAGUCCCAAACUAUAGAUCUGCCUUGUUGUGAUAUUCAUGAUAGAUUUGUAUUCAUUGCUUGUUUUAGCCUUGCUAACUAGAACAUGAUCAUAAGAUUGCAUACUCAAGCACCCUUGUUAUCCCAUCCCGACAUCUAUCUAUCAUAUUAGGACUGCUGAAGAGAGGGCUAACCGCCAAUUUAGUAUCUUAAUAGGGCAUAUCAUACUGGCGCGCGAUAGGCCUGGCUAGAACCCGUCGAUCGAUGUCCUCAACUGACUAUCGGUCGACGUAGUAAAGCGUGUAUCGGUCGAUGUCCCCAUAUGGACCAUCGAUCGGCACUCUUUCGUUGUCAACAUACUAAACCGAGUUGAGACACGAGAUCUGGUUUGUUAACCAAGUGAAACAUCGACAGCUGAUCACUGAGUUCAUGUUGAACUCUCAACAUAUCAUGCAUCAGUGAAACAGGCAUCUAUAAAUAUUAUAAUCUCCAACACCUGAAUAGUGGCCCCCGCCUAAUAUCAUUUCCAACCAAGUUACAUUUACUAUUUCAUCGGCUUGUUACUAUUGCUAUUUCAUUUAAACAUUUACAACUCUAGAAUUAAUAAACACUAGAUUUAAUUGUUCCCUAGCUCUUUUGUGGAUUCGAUCCCUCUUUUGAUGAGAGUAACACUCCUUAGGGUAAUUUGAGUGGUAUCAAAUUUGGCACCGCUGUCGGGAGCUUUGAUCGCCAUUAGAUUUAGUUUUAUUGAUUCUUAUUCUCUUCUACCCCUUUCUAACAUAGUCUUUUCUUU